UACAGAGGUCUCAAGCGUUGUUCGGAUUCAUUGGGCGUAAAGGGUGCGUAGGUGGCGGGGUAAGUCAGGUGUGAAAUUUCGGAGCUUAACUCCGAAACUGCAUUUGAUACUGCCUUGCUUGAGGACUGGAGAGGAGACUGGAAUUCACGGUGUAGCAGUGAAAUGCGUAGAUAUCGUGAGGAAGACCAGUGGCGAAGGCGGGGUCUCUGGACAGUUCCUGACACUGAGGCACGAAGGCCAGGGGAGCAAACGGG
rnacentral:rRNA from 1 species